rnacentral:rRNA from 1 species
GUGGGGAAUAUUGCACAAUGGGCGGAAGCCUGAUGCAGCGACGCCGCGUGGGGGAUGACGGCCUUCGGGUUGUAAACCCCUUUCGGCAGGGAACAAGUCCUUCGGGGUGAGGGUACCUGCGGAAGAAGCGCCGGCUAACUACGUGCCAGCAGCCGCGGUAAUACGUAGGGCGCGAGCGUUAUCCGGAAUUAUUUGGCGUAAAGAGCUCGUAGGCGGUUUGUCGCGUCUGCUGUGAAAGCCCGGGGCUCAACCCCGGGUCUGCAGUGGGGACGGGCAGGCUGGAGUGCAGUAGGGGAGACUGGAAUUCCUGGUGUAGCGGUGAAAUGCGCAGAUAUCAGGAGGAACACCGAUGGCGAAGGCAGGUCUCUGGGCUGUAACUGACGCUGAGGAGCGAAAGCAUGGGGAGCGAACAGGAUUAGAUACCCGGGUAGUCC